rnacentral:rRNA from 1 species
UACGGGGGGAGCAAGCGUUGUUCGGAUUUACUGGGCGUAAAGGGCGCGUAGGCGGCCACUGCAAGUCAAUUGUGAAAUCUCCGGGCUUAACUCGGAAAGGUCAACUGAUACUGCAGGGCUAGAGUGCGGAAGGGGCAACUGGAAUUCUCGGUGUAGCGGUGAAAUGCGUAGAUAUCAAGAGGAACACCUGAGGCGAAGGCGGGUUGCUAGGCUGACACUGACGCUGAGUGCGCGAAAGCCAGGGGAGCAAACGGG